UAACUACUGGAAACGGUAGCUAAUACCGCAUAACGUCGCAAGACCAAAGAGGGGGACCUUCGGGCCUCUUGCCAUCAGAUGUGCCCAGAUGGGAUUAGCUAGUAGGUGGGGUAACGGCUCACCUAGGCGACGAUCCCUAGCUGGUCUGAGAGGAUGACCAGCCACACUGGAACUGAGACACGGUCCAGACUCCUACGGGAGGCAGCAGUGGGGAAUAUUGCACAAUGGGCGCAAGCCUGAUGCAGCCAUGCCGCGUGUAUGAAGAAGGCCUUCGGGUUGUAAAGUACUUUCAGCGGGGAGGAAGGUGUUGGGUUAAUAACCGCAGCAAUUGACGUUACCCGCAGAAGAAGCACCGGCUAACUCCGUGCCAGCAGCCGCGGUAAUACGGAGGGUGCAAGCGUUAAUCGGAAUUACUGGGCGUAAAGCGCACGCAGGCGGUCUGUCAAGUCGGAUGUGAAAUCCCCGGGCUCAACCUGGGAACUGCAUUCGAAACUGGCAGGCUAGAGUCUUGUAGAGGGGGGUAGAAUUCCAGGUGUAGCGGUGAAAUGCGUAGAGAUCUGGAGGAAUACCGGUGGCGAAGGCGGCCCCCUGGACAAAGACUGACGCUCAGGUGCGAAAGCGUGGGGAGCAAACAGGAGARAUACCCKGGUAGUCCACGCCGUAAACGAUGUCGACUUGAGGUUGUGCCCUUGAGGCGUGGCUUCCGGAGCUAACGCGUUAAGUCGACCGCCUGGGGAGUACGGCCGCAAGGUUAAAACUCAAAUGAAUUGACGGGGGCCCGCACAAGCGGUGGAGCAUGUGGUUUAAUUCGAUGCAACGCGAAGAACCUUACCUACUCUUGACAUCCAGAGAACUUUCCAGAGAUGGAUUGGUGCCUUCGGGAACUCUGAGACAGGUGCUGCAUGGCUGUCGUCAGCUCGUGUUGUGAAAUGUUGGGUUAAGUCCCGCAACGAGCGCAACCCUUAUCCUUUGUUGCCAGCGGUCCGGCCGGGAACUCAAAGGAGACUGCCAGUGAUAAACUGGAGGAAGGUGGGGAUGACGUCAAGUCAUCAUGGCCCUUACGAGUAGGGCUACACACGUGCUACAAUGGCGCAUACAAAGAGAAGCGAACUCGCGAGAGCAAGCGGACCUCAUAAAGUGCGUCGUAGUCCGGAUUGGAGUCUGCAACUCGACUCCAUGAAGUCGGAAUCGCUAGUAAUCGUAGAUCAGAAUGCU
rnacentral:rRNA from 1 species